rnacentral:rRNA from 1 species
CCUACGGGUGGCUGCAGUGGGGAAUAUUGCACAAUGGGGGAAACCCUGAUGCAGCGACGCCGCGUGAGUGAAGAAGUAUUUCGGUAUGUAAAGCUCUAUCAGCAGGGAAGCAGCAAGACGGUACCUGACUAAGAAGCACCGGCGAACUACGUGCCCGCAGCCGCGGUAAUACGCAGGGGGCAAGCGUUAUCCGGAUUUACUGGGUGUAAAGGGAGCGUAGGCGGUAUGGCAAGUCUGAAGUGAAAGCCCAGGGCUUAACCCUGGGACUGCUUUGGAAACUGUUUGACUAGAGUGCGGGAGGGGUAAGUGGAAUGCGUAGUGUAGCGGUGAAAUGCGUAGAUAUUAGGAGGAACACCGGUGGCGAAGGCGGCGUACGGGACAGUAACUGACGUUGAGGCUCGAAAGCGUGGGGAGCAAACAGGAUUAGAUACCCGGGUAGUC